GGGCAGCUAGCUCAAUGGCAGAGCAUUUCUUCGACAUAGAAAAGGCUACGGGUUCGAAUCCUGUGCUGCCCA
rnacentral:tRNA from 1 species